CCUUUUAUCUUCUCCGACCUCGCGCCGGGCGUCCGUCUUCAGGCCACCCAUUAGAAAAAUUGGGGCGGCCCAAUAAAAAACGGCUGUUGUUAUUCGCUUUUUCCAAUCGUAGUUCUUCGCAAUUUUCCGUGUCUGCGUCUCUUCGUCUCGCACACUAUUUCGUCGACUCCCUUGACGGAUAUUCAGAGUGUUGCAUUGCAAAAAAGUGCUGC
ensembl:ncRNA Y53C12B.9 ncRNA